AUUCUCUUAGUAUUAAUCAGUACAAUUGACUUCCAAUCACUUAGUUCUGGAGCUACCCAGAAGAGAAUA
rnacentral:tRNA from 1 species